GCAAUUAUAGUUUAGUGGUAGAACCUUAGCCUUCCAAGCUAAUGAUAUGAGUUCGAUUCUCAUUAAUUGCU
rnacentral:tRNA from 1 species